GAUGAACGCUGGCGGCGUGCCUAAUACAUGCAAGUCGAACGCUGGAAAUCUAGCUUGCUAGAUUGAAGGAGUGGCGCACGGGUGAGUAAUACAUAAGCAACCUACCCACGAAGACUGGGAUAAUCUCUGGAAACGGGGACUAAUACCGGAUAGGUAAUCGGAAGGCAUCUUCAGAUUAUUAAAGGUUAAAAACACUGGUGGAUGGGCUUAUGGCGCAUUAGUUAGUUGGUGAGGUAACGGCCCACCCAGACGAUGAUGCGUAGCCGGCCUGAGAGGGUGAACGGCCACAUUGGGACUGAGACACGGCCCAGACUCCUACGGGAGGCAGCAGUAGGGAAUUUUCGGCAAUGGGGGAAACCCUGACCGAGCAACGCCGCGUGAGUGAUGACGGCCUUCGGGUUGUAAAGCUCUGUUGUAAGGGAAGAACGGUAGAUAGAGAAUAUCUAAAUGACGGUACCUUACCAGAAAGCCACGGCUAACUACGUG
rnacentral:rRNA from 1 species